AGCGAACGCUGGCGGCAGGCUUAACACAUGCAAGUCGAACGCAUCCUUCGGGGUGAGUGGCAGACGGGUGAGUAACACGUGGGAACGUACCUCUUUGUUCGGAAUAGCUUUUGGAAACGAAAGGUAAUACCGGAUACGCCCUUUUGGGGAAAGAUUUAUCGCAGAGAGAUCGGCCCGCGUCUGAUUAGCUAGUUGGUGAGGUAAUGGCUCACCAAGGCGACGAUCGGUAGCUGGUCUGAGAGGAUGAUCAGCCACACUGGGACUGAGACACGGCCCAGACUCCUACGGGAGGCAGCAGUGGGGAAUAUUGGACAAUGGGCGCAAGCCUGAUCCAGCCAUGCCGCGUGAGUGAUGAAGGCCUUAGGGUUGUAAAGCUCUUUUGUCCGGGAAGAUAAUGACUGUACCGGAAGAAUAAGCCCCGGCUAACUUCGUGCCAGCAGCCGCGGUAA
rnacentral:rRNA from 1 species